UGUGACCUACGGGGCGCAGCAGUAGGGAAUCUUCCACAAUGGACGAAAGUCUGAUGGAGCAACGCCGCGUGAGUGAAGAAGGGUUUCGGAUUGUAAACCUCUGUCCUCUGUGAAGAUGAUGACGGUAGCAGAGGAGGAAGCUCCGGCUAACUACGUGCCAGCAGCCGCGGUAAUACGUAGGGCGCAGGCGUUGUCCGGAUUUACUGGGUGUAAAGGGUGCGUAGGCGGCUUUGCAAGUCAGAAGUGAAAUCUAUGGGCUUAACCCAUAAACUGAUUUUGAAACUGCAGCGCUUGAGUGAAGUAGA
rnacentral:rRNA from 1 species